CUGAGUGUAAAAACUCCAAAUCCAUGUGAACUUACCACUUGUUGCCUCGGCGCAAGCGUUCUGCCUCCUCCUCGGAGGGGCGGGAACUGCGCCGGUGGACUACUAAACUCUUGUUAAUAUUGGCAUUCUGAAAUAAAAAACUUAAUAAGUUA
rnacentral:misc_RNA from 1 species